CUCCAGACAAUGGAGUCUCCAUAGCUAUGAGGACAUUACGUCAGGCUGGGUUUUGCUGAGAUUCAUUGUGCUGAUGGUAAGAAGAUGAUCUUCUUGGAUCACUUGGAGAGGAAAAAAACAACGGAAUAACCAUCUACCAUGUUGGGAACAGCCCUAUGGAGAAGCCUAUGCG